AGAAUCAACGCUGGCGGCGUGCCUAACACAUGCAAGUCGAACGAGAAAGUGGAGCAAUCCAUGAGUACAGUGGCGCACGGGUGAGUAACACGUGACUAACCUACCCUUGAGUUCGGAAUAACUUCGGGAAACCGAGGCUAAUACCGGAUAAUAUCUACGGAUCAAAGGAGCAAUUCGCUUAAGGAGGGGGUCGCGGCAGAUUAGUUAGUUGGCGGGGUAAUGGCCCACAAGACGAUGAUCUGUAUCCGGCCUGAGAGGGCGCACGGACACACUGGAACUGAAACACGGUCCAGACUCCUACGGGAGGCAGCAGUGGGGAAUUUUGCGCAAUGGGGGAAACCCUGACGCAGCAACGCCGCGUGGAGGAUGAAAUCCCUUGGGAUGUAAACUCCUUUCGAUCGGGACGAUUAUGACGGUACCGGAAGAAGAAGCCCGGCUAACUCGUGCCAGCAGCCGC
rnacentral:rRNA from 1 species